rnacentral:rRNA from 1 species
CCUACGGGUGACAGCAGUGGGGAAUAUUGCACAAUGGGGGAAACCCUGAUGCAGCGACGCCGCGUGAGUGAAGAAGUAUCUCGGUACGUAAAGCUCUAUCAGCAGGGAAGAAAAUGACGGUACCUGACUAAGAAGCCCCGGCUAACUACGUGCCAGCAGCCGCGGUAAUACGUAGGGGGGAAGCGUUAUCCGGAUUUACUGGGUGUAAUGGGAGCGUAGACGGCAGCACAAGUCUGGAGUGAAAUCCCGGGGCUUAACCCCGGAACUGCUGUGGAAACUGGGCGGCUGGAGUGCAGGAGGGGUAGGCGGAAUGCCUGGUGUAGCGGUGAAAUGCGUAGAUAUUAGGAGGAACACCGGUGGCGAAGGCGGCUUACUGGACUGUAACUGACGUUGAGGCUCGAAAGCGUGGGGAGCAAACAGGAUUAGAUACCCUGGUAGUC